UUGCACGCUGGCGGCAGGCCUAACACAUGCAAGUCGAGCGGAUGACGGGAGCUUGCUCCUUGAUUCAGCGGCGGACGGGUGAGUAAUGCCUAGGAAUCUGCCUGGUAGUGGGGGACAACGUUUCGAAAGGAACGCUAAUACCGCGUACGUCCUACGGGAGAAAGCAGGGGACCUUCGGGCCUUGCGCUAUCAGAUGAGCCUAGGUCGGAUUAGCUAGUUGGUGGGGUAAUGGCUCACCAAGGCGACGAUCCGUAACUGGUCUGAGAGGAUGAUCAGUCACACUGGAACUGAGACACGGUCCAGACUCCUACGGGAGGCAGCAGUGGGGAAUAUUGGACAAUGGGCGAAAGCCUGAUCCAGCCAUGCCGCGUGUGUGAAGAAGGUCUUCGGAUUGUAAAGCACUUUAAGUUGGGAGGAGGGGCAGUAAGUUAAUACCUUGCUGUUUUGACGUUACCGACAGAAUAAGCACCGGCUAACUCUGUGCCAGCAGCCGCGGUAA
rnacentral:rRNA from 1 species